CUCAGAUGUUCGGGUGUUUAUUAUCUCUGGAUGAGCCAAUGACAAUGCAGUAUUUCCCAUGGAAAAUGUACCUCCCAGUGCAGCAAGCAGAGGAACAAGGGACACGUUUAAGUUCUGUCACAGACAAGGUGAACAAAUCUCCCAUCUUCCAUCUCUUAACAGUUAUUACGUCCUCAGACUGGCCAGUUAGACAGACACAGUGGCACCAAGCAGCCUGCAGCCAUGCACCGGUGACACGGUGUGCGCAAGGAAUUCUUCUUUAUUGGAUACCUGACAAAGCAUCUAUUGGAAGCUGCCCAAUGCCCGAUGCCCCUCCUGAUAGUCUCUAGAACAUGGAAUUUCAUGCUGGAUUAGUGGAGAGUUUCUCUGUCCUUCAGCCUUAACAUGUACUGAGAUGGACACAGUUUGUGAUAUUCACCCCCAGCAGAGGAUAAUCUCCCAUUCCCAAAAUAUUCCAUGGAGUUUAUUUACUAAAGUGUUAGACACCUCUUUGUA